rnacentral:lncRNA from 1 species
CAGUCUGGAGUGCAGUUACACAGCCUCAGGUCAUUGCAACCUCUGCCUCCUGGGUUCAAAUGAUUCUUCUGCCUCAGCCUCCAGGGCAGCUGGGACUACAGGCGAACACCACCACACCCAGAUAACCCCAGGUAACUGUCUCACCACAUCAGUCUAUUGAUUCUCACUGCACGGAGUGAAGAAGAAACCACCAGAUCAGACAGUAUCUGGAACUGUGUUGAAGAGAACAUGUGUUGGGAAGCCCCAGAUGCGGUGAUCUCUACAGACCUUGCCAGCUCGACAUCCUCUGAAUCUUGAACAUCUUGUCUGUGCUUUUGCUGUAGGUACAUCCAUACUCCUGAAAGGAUGUUAACAGGCGUAACUUGACAGCAAUUUACUAGGUCUCCUUGAUGAAGUCAAACAUUUAAUUAAAUAUUCAUUAGUUUCAAAGCUGAGCCUUAUUAACCGUGGAUUCAUUUCAAGUGUGUAUUGAAGAACAUUCCCUUUUAAGUUCCCUUUAUAGUUGCAGAAGUUGCAGAUGUACAUAUUCACUUAUACUCUAAAAGUUAAAAUUAUUUAAUUAAAAAAAGAAUUCUUUCAAGCAUUAUGAGUUUAUUGGUCUUUUCCCUAUUUCAGGUAGCCCCAAAGUAAAGAUUGCCAAGUUGAGACAGAAUUAAACUCUAUAUACUAAAAAU